UAAAAUCAGAUUUAAGAGAAGGAAAGGAGUCUGAGUAUAGCCCAUGAUAUUGUUUUUCUGUUAAAUAUUUGGCGGCUAAGUUGACGGUUCAUAGCAGAAGAGAACAGCGAUCAGCGAAGAACUGGGAGGAGAUCGGGAGAGACGCACAGUACAGGGCUGAAGAUAUCCAGACUGCCUGAGCCACAUGCUGAAAGUCACCCUGGAUAAAGAUACGCCUUGCUUCACUUAAUCAGCACAGUUCUGCCACAGAAUUCAGCGGACCGGAUUCCUCGCAGUCGACGGCACUCGACCUCCAUAUUGGCUCUGUGCGGAGGUGCCUUGUUCUCGUGCGACAGGACUAGUCAUGAUACAUUCCCCAGGACCAAUGAAAAGCAGCUAGACGUUUUCAGAGCAAUCCUGCUUAAAGAUGUCUCAGACUGUAUUGAAUGCUUUCAUGGAAGAUUCCACAAGCUUAAAAAUACCCUGUAUUUUUGUUUCUGAAGUAAUUACAGUAUACUGCAGUCCUCAGUCUAAAAUUCAGGUUUUAAAGUCUUCAAGCUGCCAGUUCUAAGAAAGUUUUUCUGGUCCAGGUAUAUAAUAAUUCAUAUAAAUGAAUAAACUAACAUAAUGUAUAAUAAUAAAAAAAAUUAAGCAAACUGUAUUAUAAAGACCCCAAUUUACCAAAAAUGUCUGUCAUGGUCUUAUUAUUGAUUAUCUAGAAUUUAUCACACUAGAUAAAGUUUCCUUAUCUUUGUCUCACUGAUGGUUAUUGCUCAGUUUGUUUAAUCCCAGAAGUAGUUGUGUAUUGUCAAUUUUCUUUAAAUAUUUAAUGAAGAAACUCCUCCAUAGUAUUCAGUGAAUCAAAGGAAUAGGUUGUGGCUCAAGAUGAUAAUGUAGCUUCGAUCCCAAUACUGUAACUUGAGCCAGUGCUUCUCCCUUUAAUUCUGGACCAAACUUCAUGGGGGAUUAAGCAGCCCUAGUCUGUCCCAAUCUCUAAAUCUCUCCUGGCUCCUGUGUGAAGCAGCAUGUGUCAGUUCUGUGAAUGCUUUUCGCAGUCAUACCAGGGAGGACGAGCUGCAGAUUUUCCCUGUGACAGCGAUUCUCUCAAGGUCUGAGCAGUGGGGUUGGUCUAUGACCGAUGGGCUUGCUCUCUGACCGAUGAGCUCCAUGUGAUCUUUUUUUAUGACCUGCACCUAAAUUCAACCAACAUUUAUUAUUAACAUUUCCUUUUUUUUAUAGCACACUUCAGUCCCUCCCCCCCACAAUUUAUUCUGAUUAUUGCUUAAAUCUCAAAACUCUGUG